UUUUAUUAGAACUCAUUAAUAAUAAAAUCUGCUCCAUGAAAAUUAAAUAGCCGCAAUUAACCCUGUGCUAAGGUAGCAUAAUAAUUUGUCUUUUAAAUAAAGACUAGAAUGAAAGAUUAAACAUUUUAAUUUAUCUUUAUAAUAUAAUUUUAAAAAUUAUUCUAAAUGUAAGAAAACAUUUAUAAAAAAGAAAGACGACAAGACCCUAUCGAACUUAACUUAAGUUAAGCUGGGGCAGCUCAUUAAAAAUUAUUUUAAUAUAAUUAAUUCACAAUAAGACCUAAUCACAUUAAUUUCCAGAAAAAGUUACCGUAGGGAUAACAGCGUAAUAAAUUUUCAAAGUUCUUAUAAAAAAAUAAGAUUGCGACCUCGAUGUUGAAUAAUAACCUUUAUAAACGACGCAAAAGUCGUAAAAGGAAGUCUGUUCGACCUUUAAAUAAUUACA
rnacentral:rRNA from 1 species